GUCCACGCCCCGCGCGGCUCCCUCGCGUCCCGCGUCCCGCGUCCCGCGUCCCCUGCUCACCCGGUGGCAAAGCCGGCGAGGAGGCGGCGGCGCUGGUGGGGACUGACCCGGCAGUCCGAGAAUCCACCGCGGCCUUUUCACCCAACCGCCCCCUCCUGCGUGGGGGCCCCGCAUCCCCUGGACUGGCGUGGGCUCUGGGGCCCGAUGCCCUGGCAGCCCCGGCCAUCUCUGCCGCUGGCCGCGGGUACCUGCUCACCUGUCCACGCCGUGGCCGACCCGGGGAUCACCGACAGCCGGGCCAUGCCUCGAGUCCCGCCGCCCGCGCCGCUGCUCGGCUUCUCAGAAACGCACCUCCACGCCGCCAGCCGGGGCUCCAGGGUCCACCGCCCGGGCCCGGAGGACUGGCGACUCCCUCCGAGGUUGGGAGCGCUCCGGAUUUCUCCAACUUCAGUUUUGAAAGACAAGUGUUUCAUCGUCUUGAGAACGCUGACUUAUGAUGCCCUUGAUUGGCAUUAAGGAAACAAACUCUGGGAAAGAAUGAUGACGUCCUGUUAUAUUCUCAUCUUUGUAUUGCUCUCUCAAGAAAUAUGGGGGAGGAGGAGCCAGAAGAAGAAACAGCUCGAAGAAUUGACUAUUGUUGCCUCUGGCAAAUGGGAUGAGGAAAUGGGAAGUUAUGAGACAAGGAAAUGAUGAGUUUCAUUACAAGCCUAGAAGUAAUUAAGCGUUUAUGUUACUCAUUUGUACUAUUUUCACUUAAGACAAUGAAAAUUUAUAAUUUCUAAAGAGCAGAAAAGAGCUCGGAAAGGUUACCUGCUUGGUAACCAAUGGCUGUAUGAUAUGUUGCCUGACUGUUAAAUCCAGAAACUGUCAAAAGAUGGGUUUUGUUUAGGUUGAGCCAGACUUUCUCCAGAAGGAGUAACGCACCAAAGGAUCUGUCUGACUCCCACCCCCAUGACCACCUCUAUUUCUGCUCAUCUCCAGCUUGACCGCUGGACCUUCAGGCAGGUCUUCCCUUGUCCCACAGCCAAGUGUUGCCCCUCUCCAUUCAUCUCUUCUACUAUUAUCAUCAGCUGAGUCAGAAAUAGAAGACUCAGUGGACACAAAAAAAGACUAGCUGCCAUUCUGAGCUAGAGGCUGCUUCAGAGGAAGACAGCUGACUUCACUGACCACCCACUCAGUCCCAGGCACUGGACUCUGGGCACCUUUCCAUAUUAUUAUCUUAAUUGAGCAUCCCAACUGAUAUGGCCAGGCUUUAUGUCCCCACUCAAAUCUCAUCCUGAAUUAUAAUCCCCAUAAUCCCCUCGUGUCAAGGGAGAGACCAGGUGGAGGUGAUUGGAUUAUGGGGGCGGUUCCCAUGCUGUUCUCAUGAUAGAGUGAGAUCAUGAGAUCUCAUGGUUUUACAAGUGUUUGGUAGUUCCUCCUGCAUUUAUUCUCCUUCCUGCCACCUUGUGAAGAAGGUACCUUGCUUCCCCUUUGCCUUCCACCAUGAUUAUAAGUUUCCUGAGGCCUCCCCAGCCAUGUGGAACUGUGAGUCAAUUAAGCCUCUUUCUUUAUCAAUUACCCAGUCUCAGGCAGUUCUUUACAGCAGUAUGAAAAUGGGCGAAUACCCUGGCCCUAAGAGGUAGACUUUAUUACAUCCAUUUCAAAGAAAGACCAAGAGACAGAGCCUCAGGGCAGUUUGCCAAGUCUUACAGCUAGGUGGGGGCUGCAUUGGGACGUUAACCUGAUUAUUCUGAUGGACACGAGACCAAGGGUCUUGCUUGGUUGGUGAUUAAGCAACAGCACUGGUGAAGAACAGACACACACCCUGGUUCACAGGAGCUGCUCACCCCAGUCCAGCUGGUCUGAGGGCAUGUGGCUCCCAAGUUCAGGUCUGAUGCAAUAAGUUGGGGAGGGAAAAGGACAAUUGCAGUGGCCAAGGAAAGGGAGUGAAGGUGCCUACCCAUGAGCAGCCGCCGUUUCACCCGUUUAUCCCCAUCCACCACUGAUGUGGUGUUGCUCUCUGUCACCUCCAGGACAGUGUCCUCUCGCUCUACAAGAGAAGCAAAAGAGCACGGUUCUCAGACUGAAUGAGUUAGAUUGCUCAUCCCCAUACAACUGUGUUUGCUGAAAUCCCAGACAUAAGAGGAAUGAAAGAUAUGUGACUCUGUUCACGCAAUAAAAAUGUGUUGUAAUGAGGCUCUGUGGGAGACACAGCCCGUUAAAGGGCCACAGAUCCUUAGCAAACAUUAAACAUGGAAAAGAUUUUGGAGGUAUAUUGCACUGACCAAAGAGACACUAGGGAAUGCAAGCUUCAGUCCCCUGAGUCGAGGAGAAAAAGAGCCUUGGGCCUGGAAACCUCUAAAAUGGAGCUAGUGAAGGACACACCGUGAAGGGCAAGGCAGGCAUCCCGCCAGAAAUAUACGGCCCUGGCUCCUGCUGGCCAGAAGUGCCGCAUCAUUAUAAACAGCUCUAACUUCGUGCUGCCCUGGCCUCCUGGGAGGUGUUGUGCCAGUCUCUGGAAUACCAGCGUUAGGAGCAGCCUAGUCCAGGAGAGGAGGAAGGGCUUCCCAAGGUCACACAGGGAGAGAGGGGCCUUCCCCACAGGCCUAGACCACUCCCACUGUAGCAUGCGAAGCAGCACAGGGCCUGCUGGGGGGGCAAAUGCACAGGAAACAGCCUGCAUCUGUGCUAAACACCAUUAAGGGGUAGGGGUAGGGACAGGCAGGCUGGUGCAGACCCUCACUCAGUGUUGGGGUUGCCACUCACCAAGGCAGCUCCUCCCAUCUGUGUGCAUCUUGUACUGUGGAUGGCAGCUGCACUCUGGGCCAUCGGCUGUAUCGUCACAGGAGUGCUGGCACCCACCGUUCCCAUGGUUACAGGUCACUGACAGCAAAAUGAAUCAAUACAUAAAGCACUGAGAUUUCCACAAACACAGGGCUGUGUUUGCUCCAGAGAAAUUCUGAUUUUCAUUCUGCAAGUAUUUGAGCACCUAGUGCAUGCCAGGCAUGGUGCACGAAAGACAUAACUCCAAGUCAGACCCUGUGGUGUCUGUGUAUGCAGAUAGUUACAAUACAAAUUGUAGAAAUGCUGAAACAUGGGUUUAAACAAAGUCAUACAGGAAGAGGGAGAUGGGAGAGUUGGGGGAGAGACUUUUAUUAUAUAAGGGAGAUUAUACCAAGAGAUUCUAGACUACUGCUUUGUUCUAUCUAGAGAAGUUUACCUAUUAAUACAGCUGUACUGGGGCUUUGGGAAAUGCUAUAGCACUUUAUGCUGGAAUAAAACAGACAAUAUUUAAUUUGUACAUAUAUGUCAGAAUUUCUCUCAUCAGAUUCAAUCUAGAUUAGUUAGAAGGAAGGAUAAUCACAGGAUGAUUCUGCACACAAUUAACGUGACAGUAACUGGUAAUUAUCAAGACUAUAUAUGAAUGUAUUGAUGAUAGGCCAAAAAGAAAAAAAGCCAACUACAAAACUAUCUAUUCAUCAAACUGCUAACCGUGGUUACCUCUGGCAAGGGAAACGGGAGGCGGGAAACUGCAUGUUUUCUUUAUAUGCUUUGGAGUGUUUGCAUUUUACAUAGGCCCUUUGUAAUUUUUCUAAUUCAAAAGAACUAAUUACAUAUUUGUGUUGUCCUGUGAUUAUAGCUGUGUAAAAAUUGUGUAUGCAUAUGAACAACAACUAAAUAGGAAUAUGGAAAAAUUGAAACAGCUGGUUAUGUGGUGAGAUUCUAGGUCUUAGUUUUUUUCUUUGUUAAUUCCUCAAACGUUAAAUAUGUUAAUGUUAAAAAUGUUAUAAUGUUAAAAAUGUUAAUAAUGUUAAUGUUAAAAUAUGUUAAUGUUAAAAUUAAAAAAAGUUAAUAACAGAACAAUAUUAUUUGAGCAGUGAUAUCUUAAAGACAUUUAAAAUCUUUAAAAACAAGCUUACAGGUGCCCACCCCCCCGCCCCCUUCAGCAACUGUUCCCUGAAAGACUAUGAAAUGUUGAGGGUCUCGCCCCGCAGGUGAGUCUUGGAGGGUCUGGGUCUUCCUUCCGAAGAUCUGGAGGUGGGAAAAUGGUCUCCACUCUGCUAGCUCACUGGAAGCCCUCAGGGACAGCCUGACUUCGAGGGGCCCUAAGAGCAUGUCAGAACCUGUUGCUUGAGUGUGAUGGUGGCACCAGCCUUGGCUUGGACAGCUUUGGGGUGGCAGUCUGCUUUGUGAGGGAGACAAUGGAGAGAAGUCCCUCACCAGUGAAACUGUCCCCUCAUCUCCUACUCACCAUAAACCACCAUCCCCACCAAAUGGCAGGGGUCUUCUGUCCAUGGCUUUGGGAAGGUUCCUAAAGGGAACUCCUCAGUGCUUCCCCUGGCAUAAAUCGUGGUUUAGGAACACCAUGAAUUGCCAGUGGUUUCCUGUUCCCAGGUGGAGUUUUGUUACUACAAUCGUGGUGCAGGAGCUGCGGCCCGAUGGUGUAGGCCACCCAUUUACCCACUCAUUAAACACAAGUGUACUGAGCAUAUCCCAUAGCAGGUACCAGGGGAGGACUGAGAGGAAAAAUGAGGCAAGGUCCCUGACUUGGAGGGGGCUCAUACCUGGGGAGACAGACACAUCAACACACAAGUCAACCCAGAGCUAUACAGCUGAGGAAAGUGCUGUGGGAGCCAAAGUACAAGAUGGCUGCCCUGUCUGAAGCACCCAGGAGGCUUCUGAUAGCAGAGGAUGGUAGCAUGGGAUUAAGAGCACAGCUUUAGAGCUCAACAGACCAGGGUUUGAACACUCAUUUGCCACUCACUCCCUGUGUGACCUUGUUGCUUCACCUUCUGCACAACUUCGACAACUGAAAAUGAGUGUAAUAAUACUGAGCUCACAGUGCAGUGCUUGUAAGAAUUAAAUGGGAUAUGGCACAUCUUGAGACAAGCCUUUGCACAAAAUAAAUUCCCCACCAAAAGGUAGCUAUUAUGCUUAUCCUUAUUAGAAGUUAAACAGAAUAUUGAAGGUUGAGUGAGAGUCCACCACGCCAGGAAGGCAGGAGGGCUUGGGAAAGGCCUGGAGGCAUCAAAGGAUUUGGGCUGUUCUCCAAAGGCAAGGGGAGUAGUGUCUGCGGAAAGGAGGCAGAUGAGGUUUAUAGGGGAAGCAGGACCUGGUGGCAAAGAGCUGUGAUUGCCAGAUGAGGACAUUUGGUUUUAUUCUGUGGGAACAGGGAGAACUGCCCCCCAACAUUCACACUCCUUACUCCUGAAUUUCAUUUCCUCCUGAUGAGUUCCUUUUUAAAAUAUCAUUUCCCUUCCCUAAGGGAGACCACCCUUCUGCAGUGAACAAGUACUUGGUAGAGGUCGGUAUCCCGUGCUAACUGCCUUCCCUGCUGCUGCAGCCGUGCCAUGAGGUGGUGCUUCUGAGCUGGGCCACAGAAGGCAGCCUGUGGAAUACGACGGUUCCCAUGGCAGGUGUGCACUGGCCCAU
rnacentral:lncRNA from 1 species